rnacentral:tRNA from 1 species
GGGGAUUUAGCUCAGUGGUAGAGCGCUUGCCUAGCAAGCUCAAGGUCCUGGGUUCGGUCCCCAGCUCCA